rfam:Oryza brachyantha chromosome 6, whole genome shotgun sequence.
GCCAUUGAUGACUUGAUGGUUUCAGAAACUGGCGCACAUUGUUGUUAGCCAGAAUCGUGUUGAUAUUACUCAUGAACUAGGACGGUCUGAGGC